rnacentral:rRNA from 1 species
CCCUUAGAUGUCCGGGGCUGCACGCGCGCUACACUGAAUGAAUCAGCGUGCUAGAAAACCUUGUUUGACAUGGCUAGGUAACCCAUUGAAAAUCAUUCGUGAUUGGGAUCGGGACUUGCAAAUGUGUCCCUUGAACGAGGAAUUCCCAGUAAGUGCGGGUCAUCAGCUCGCGUUGAUUACGUCCCUGCCCUUUGUACACACCGCCCGUCGCUCCUACCGAUUGAAUGAUCCGAUGAAUAUCAUGGAUUGAGGAUGCAAGUAGGUUAGCCUAUCUUCAUCUUCGAGAAGUGAAGUAAAUCUUAUCAUUUAGAGGAAGGAGAAGUCGUAACA